UCAUAUGCUUGUCUUAAAGAUUAAGCCAUGCAUGUCUAAGUAUAAGCUUUUAUACGGCUAAACUGCGAAUGGCUCAUUAAAACAGUUAUAGUUUAUUUGAUGGUCUUUACUACAUGGAUAACCGUGGUAAUUCUAUGGCUAAUACAUGCGCACAUGCCUCUUCCCCUGGAAGGGCAGUGUUUAUUAGAUACAGAACCAACCCACCUUCCGGUGGUCCUCAGGUGAUUCAUAGUAACCGAACGGAUCGCGUUGACUUCGGUCUGCGACGGAUCAUUCAAGUUUCUGACCUAUCAGCUUUCGACGGUACUGUAUUGGACUACCGUGGCAGUGACGGGUAACGGGGAAUUAGGGUUCGAUUCCGGAGAGGGAGCCUGAGAAACGGCUACCACAUCUAAGGAAGGCAGCAGGCGCGCAAAUUACCCAUCCUC
rnacentral:rRNA from 1 species